rnacentral:misc_RNA from 1 species
AUCGAUCUCAAGAGAGAUGGGAGCGAUGAACAAGCUCAAAAUCUUCGUCGUCAAGGAGCCCGUCGUCGCUGCUUCCUGCCUCAUCGCCGGAUUCGGCCUCUUUCUUCCGGUUGUGGUCAGGCCUAUUCUGGAUUCCUUUGAGACAGCCAAGCAAGUCCUACAACCUGCUAUGACUGAUGUGCUUGUAGGCGUGACGGGCAAAAUACAGUGAUUGAUUGGAUCAUACAUUGUGGUUUUCGGUGCGUG